AGUCGAGCGGAGUGGUUGUGCUUGCACAAUCACUUAGCGGCGGACGGGUGAGUAAUGCUUAGGAAUCUGCCUAUUAGUGGGGGACAACAUUCCGAAAGGAAUGCUAAUACCGCAUACGCCCUACGGGGGAAAGCAGGGGAUCUUCGGACCUUGCGCUAAUAGAUGAGCCUAAGUCGGAUUAGCUAGUUGGUGGGGUAAAGGCCUACCAAGGCGACGAUCUGUAGCGGGUCUGAGAGGAUGAUCCGCCACACUGGGACUGAGACACGGCCCAGACUCCUACGGGAGGCAGCAGUGGGGAAUAUUGGACAAUGGGGGGAACCCUGAUCCAGCCAUGCCGCGUGUGUGAAGAAGGCCUUUUGGUUGUAAAGCACUUUAAGCGAGGAGGAGGCUACUAGUACUAAUACUACUGGAUAGUGGACGUUACUCGCAGAAUAAGCACCGGCUAACUCUGUGCCAGCAGCCGCGGUAAUACAGAGGGUGCGAGCGUUAAUCGGAUUUACUGGGCGUAAAGCGUGCGUAGGCGGCUGAUUAAGUCGGAUGUGAAAUCCCUGAGCUUAACUUAGGAAUUGCAUUCGAUACUGGUCAGCUAGAGUAUGGGAGAGGAUGGUAGAAUUCCAGGUGUAGCGGUGA
rnacentral:rRNA from 1 species